rnacentral:rRNA from 1 species
GCAAUGGACGAAAGUCUGACCGAGCAACGCCGCGUGAGUGAAGAAGGUUUUCGGAUCGUAAAGCUCUGUUGUAAGUCAAGAACGUGUGUGAGAGUGGAAAGUUCACACAGUGACGGUAGCUUACCAGAAAGGGACGGCUAACUACGUGCCAGCAGCCGCGGUAAUACGUAGGUCCCGAGCGUUGUCCGGAUUUAUUGGGCGUAAAGGGAGCGCAGGCGGUCAGGAAAGUCUGGAGUAAAAGGCUAUGGCUCAACCAUAGUGUGCUCUGGAAACUGUCUGACUUGAGUGCAGAAGGGGAGAGUGGAAUUCCAUGUGUAGCGGUGAAAUGCGUAGAUAUAUGGAGGAACACCAGUGGCGAAAGCGGCUCUCUGGUCUGUCACUGACGCUGAGGCUCGAAAGCGUGGGUAGCGAACAAGAUUAGAUACCCUGGUAGUCCACGCCGUAAACGAUGAGUGCUAGGUGUUAGGCCCUUUCCGGGGCUUAGUGCCGGAGCUAACGCAAUAGGCACUCCGCCUGGGGAGUACGACCGCAAGGUUGAAACUCAAAGGAAUUGACGGGGGCCCGCACAAGCGGUGGAGCAUGUGGUUUAAUUCGAAGCA